GAAAAGAUACAGGUCAAAGAAGGGGCAAGGCAACAUCUUUCUCUCCCACAGUCCUGGAGAGAAAUCACUAAACAUCUUGGGAAACUGGACCCUUAAGGCAACAGAAGAUGCUCCUAAUGAACACUUUCCCCGAGAGAACAAGCCAGAAGGAUACUGAAGACAAGAAAAGAAAAAACAGACACGAGCAAAAGAGAGAAGACUCCAUUUACUAAACAAAUACAAGAGGGGACGGUACUUCCGGCAGGUAGUUCUGACACAGCAUACAUCCUGUAGCGUCAGCAUUCACAACAGCCCAAAGCGGAAAUAACCCAAAUGCCUGUCAGCGGAUGAAUGGAUAAACGAGUGUGGUCUAUUCAUGCAGCGGAAUACUAUUUGGCCACAAAAAGGAAUGAUGUUCUAAUACAUGCUCCCACAUGGAUGAACCUCAAAGACAUGACGCUAAGUGAAAGAAGCCAGUCACAAAGGACCACAGAUUGUAUGAUUCCAUUUAUAUGAAAUCUUCAGGAUAAGGAACUCUACAGACAGAUAUCAGAUUCUUGGUUGCCUGGAGCUGAGAUGGGGGGCGGUGGGGUGACAGAUAAGAGGUAUGGAGUUUCUUGUUGGAGUAAUGAAAAUGUUCUAAAAUUGAUUAUGGUUAAUGCAUGCAAAAUCCUGAUAAUAGAGUACAAGCCACUGAAUUAUAUACUGAAGCUGGGUGAAUUGUAUCUCAAUAAAACCAUGGGGGGG